AAAAUCACCAAAAAACUACUUACAUUUAUUCUGCUGAAUAAAAGAUGGAUUGUUCCUUGUGUCUCCCUGUCUCCCAGUGUCUUAGUGUCCCCUAGUCUCCCAGUAUCCCCUAGUGUCUGUGUCCCCUAUGUAUUACAGUGUUUCAGUGCCCCAUGUGUCCCAGUGUCCCCAUUUCUCAGUGUCUUCUACGUAUCACAGUGUCCCUAUGUAUCACAAUGUCUCAGUGCCUCAUGUGUCUCAGUGCCCCCUUAUGUCCCCAUGUUGUCCAGUGUCACUUGGACACUAGGGGACACUCAAGAGACAUGGGAACACUGUGAUACAUUGGGACACUAGGGGACACUGGGAGACACUAGGGACACUGGCUGGGAGAUAUGGAGACACUGAGAGACUUGGGGACAUUGGGAGACAUGGGGACACAGACGCUAGAGACACAGUGUCUCAGUGUCCCCAUGUCUCCCAGUGUCCCCAAGUGCCUAGUGUCUCACAGCAUCCCCUAGUGUCUCAGUGUUCCCAUGUCUCCAGUGUCCCCUGAUCUUCCAGUGUCCCCAGGUCUAUCAGUGUCCCCAAGUGUCUCAGUGUUCCCAGUUUACCCAGUGCCCCCUAGUGUCUCCCAGUGUCCCCAUCUCUCCCUGCAUCCUUUCCCCUCAUCCCUCACUUCCCUGAGCUGUAG